rnacentral:tRNA from 1 species
AUUAAAGUAGUUUAUAUUAAAAUCAGGAAUUGUGGGUUCCGGGAACCUUUAUUGGCUUUAAUU